UUCUCCGUCAUCUGUAACUCAGAAAUCGCUCCCCUUCCAAGCUUAGUCCUUUGCAGAGAAGUUGGAGAAAACUGCUUGUCUCUAGGGUGCUGUAACUUCUUUGGUCUGCACAGACACACUCCACCUCACAUCUCAGUGACCAAGUGCUUGUCCCAGAAAGAUGAAUGACAGCUUCCAGUGUGCAACAUCACUAGCUGAUAAGGAAUUGCCGAUGAAUUCUCGAUCCUGUCGUACUCAGCAGGAAGUUUGCUACUGAUUUCAGAGGAGGAAGACUUUCACCCCACAGGAAAUCAAGUGUGUAAACAGAUCACCACCCAGCUCUUCAACCACCCUCAGUCCAGAUGACAAGACCUCCACCUGUGGAACGGAAGGGCCAGUUGUGGGAGCUACAGACAAUGAACGUAACAAAGAAUU
rnacentral:lncRNA from 1 species